AUACGGAAGGUCCGGGCGUUAUCCGGAUUUAUUGGGUUUAAAGGGAGCGCAGGCGGAGAUGCAAGCGUGACGUCAAAUUUCGGGGCUCAACCCCGUCUCGCGUCGCGAACUGCGUCCCUUGGUUGCGGGAAGGGGAGGCGGAACUCGCGGUGUAGCGGUGAAAUGCAUAGAUAUCACGAAGAACUCCGAUCGCGAAGGCAGCCUUCCGGCCCGUCAACGACGCUCAUGCUCGAAGGUGCGGGUAUCAAACAGGAUUAGAUACCCUGGUAGUCCGCACAGUAAACGAUGGACACCCGCGGUUUGGCCUGUAUGGCUGAGCCGCCAAGCGAAAGCGUUAAGUGUCCCACCUGGGGAGUACGCCGGCAACGGUGAAACUCAAAGGAAUUGACGGGG
rnacentral:rRNA from 1 species